rnacentral:lncRNA from 1 species
UAGUACUAGUAUAUAAUAAUACUAGGGAUAAGAAAAUCUUUUGUGUUAUAAAAUCUAUAAUACAACUAGAAAUCUAUAUUAAACAGCUGCAAAAAAAUACAAAAAAAAAUAGUUUUUAAUACCACCACACAUUAUUAAUGCACGUUCAAAGCAUAUAGGGACAAACCUCUCUUUCUUUAAAAACGAUUAAAAAAAAAAA